CCUACGGGAGGCAGCAGUGAGGAAUAUUGGUCAAUGGGCGCGAGCCUGAACCAGCCAAGUAGCGUGAAGGAUGACUGCCCUACGGGUUGUAAACUUCGUUUAUAAAGGAAUAAAGUGAGGCACGUGUGCCUUUUUGUAUGUACUUUAUGAAUAAGGAUCGGCUAACUCCGUGCCAGAAGCCGCGGUAAGACGGAGGAGCCGAGCGUUAUCCGGCUUUAUUGGGUGUAAGGGGAGCGUAGAUGGGUUGUUAAGUCAGUUGUGAAAGUUUGCGGCUCAACCGUAAAAUUGCAAUUGAUACUGGCAGCCUUGAGUACAGUUGAGGUAGGCGGAAUUCGUGGUGUAGCGGUGAAAUGCUUAGAUAUCACGCAGAACUCCGAUUGCGAUGGCAGCUUACUAACCUGCCACUGACAUUGAUGCUCGAAAGUGUGGGUAUCAAACAGGAUUAGCUACCCUGGUAGUC
rnacentral:rRNA from 1 species